UACGGAGGGUGCAAGCGUUGUCCGGAAUCACUGGGCGUAAAGGGCGCGUAGGCGGCUCAUGAAGGCUGUGGUGAAAGUCCGGGGCUCAACCUCGGAUCGGCCGUGGCGACUCGUGGGCUGGAGCACUGUAGAGGCGGGUGGAAUUCCGGGUGUAGCGGUGGAAUGCGUAGAGAUCCGGAGGAACACCGGUGGUGUAAACGGCUUUCUGGACCAUAACUGACGCUGAGGCACGAAAGCGUGGGUAGCAAGCAGG
rnacentral:rRNA from 1 species